GAUGAACGCUGGCGGCGUGCCUAAUACAUGCAAGUCGAGCGAACAGACGAGGAGCUUGCUCCUCUGACGUUAGCGGCGGACGGGUGAGUAACACGUGGAUAACCUACCUAUAAGACUGGGAUAACUUCGGGAAACCGGAGCUAAUACCGGAUAAUAUAUUGAACCGCAUGGUUCAAUAGUGAAAGACGGUUUUGCUGUCACUUAUAGAUGGAUCCGCGCCGCAUUAGCUAGUUGGUAAGGUAACAGCUUACCAAGGCAACGAUGCGUAGCCGACCUGAGAGGGUGAUCGGCCACACUGGUACUGAGACACGGUCCAGACUCCUACGGGAGGCAGCAGUAGGGAAUCUUCCGCAAUGGGCGAAAGCCUGACGGAGCAACGCCGCGUGAGUGAUGAAGGUCUUCGGAUCGUAAAACUCUGUUAUUAGGGAAGAACAAAUGUGUAAGUAACUAUGCACGUCUUGACGGUACCUAAUCAGAAAGCCACGGCUAACUACGUG
rnacentral:rRNA from 1 species